UUUGCCCAGAGUUGGGAUUGCUCCUGUGCCUGCUUGUUCCUGCCCUGGACCAGAUUUACUUCACUCCAGGCCUGUGGACUGCAUCAUCACAACCCCUGAGGGCAGGCUACUUAAUGGCUGUGUAGGCAUGCACAGUGUUUGCUGGGGAACAUAUACUGAUGAGCAGAUCUGCAAGCAAUCUAACUGAAGAUAGAGAUACCGAGGAGUGAGGACUCCAACUUUAUCACUGCUGAUAUAGAUUCUUUUUUUUUUUUUUUUCUCCAAUUCAGAAAGCAAAUCUUUCAGGAAUGAAGGCUUUGUGUGUGUGUCUGUUUUGCAUAUCUCAUUACUGGAAUUAUUUCUCAGUUUAGGCAAACGAUUUCUGCCUUUAACUAGAUGAUUAAAUACUCCGAAAGAGAGAAAAUCCAGCCAAGUACUAUCAGUACUUAGUAGAUUUACCAUUUUAAAGUGUCUCUGCAAAACAGGAGGUGGGGUGGGGUAGAGAGAGAAAGCAAGCAUUCAUUGCUAAUCAUUUCCUUUGAAGUCUGGUAGAGACCUGGUGAUUUGGUAUUGUGUGCAAAGUCAUAGUAUUAGACUAAGAUUAUUUUAAGAAACACUUUUUUUUAUCAUUUUCUAACUGACAGAAAGGGCAAGCUUGCCAGCCAUGCAGUUUGAUGUUUCUUCAUGGAAACAACAAAAGAACCCCACAAUGAUGUGAUUAAUGACUUGCAUCUACUUUCUCUGAUCCCCAAACUUGAAUAGAGAGAACACAUAAGACCUUCACACUAUUAUCCACCAUCCUAUUCAGAUGAGAUUAGUAUUGGCACAACUUCUUUUUAGAAGCAUGUUCCUUGAGCCAAGGAAUUUGAAUAUCCUAGUAGGUACAGUUAUGUAAUGAGUGUUGAUUUUGAUGAAGCUAUGAGCUGGCAGGGAUAACUUUGUAACAAAUACAGCAGUUUUACAGUAAUUAUGGACUAUAUGGUAGCCAUUUUACUUGCUGCAAAACUGCUUAAUGUUUUAAAUGUGUAAUUAUUAAGGGAAAAGUUCCCAAUUUGCUUUUCUGCUAUCCACCUUUUGAAUAGGUUUGGACCAGAUGCUAUAAUUUAGUCAUUAAACAGCUUCUUACAAAAGAAGACUUACAGAAACAAACAUUAUUUUCUGUCACUACUAUCCUGUUUUGAGGCUGCUGUAGGUCACCUUCAUACACUCUUAAACUUCAUGGUAAACUUCAUAAAUCAAAAGAUUAAGUGACUUUUUCUUCUAGUUUAGUUUAACCCUUUAGAUAGCACAUGGGGCAGGUGUUGGCUUUGGAAGGUACUUUUAGAUUGAAUCAGAUGGCAACAACGGGCAUGAAUAAUGAAGAAUAAUAAAGUGCUACAGUCUGGUGUAGAUCAUAGAAUCAGUAUAUUUUGGAGAUAAGAUUGAGUCUGUUGUAUGGUUUUUGGGUUUUUUUUAAGUGUAUCCCAUGCACAGUGACUAUUCUGUUCAAGUAACGUAUUUAUACAAAGAAUGAUUACAGAAAAUAUGAACUGAGCUGCACUCCUUUAAACAUUAAAAUCUUAUGGGGAAGUUUAUACUCAUAUUUGUCACUAUAGUAUUGAGUAGAUUAGUUCUUUAAAAAUAAUCCAGAUUGAUGAAGGUACAAUAAAAGACGUGUUUACAUUUUCAGCCUCUUGAGAAGACAGCUACUUUUCAAAGGUGCUUCUCUAUGAUCAAUGUUGUAGAUGGGGUGGGAGGUUGGAGGGGAAUAACAGUAUGACAGGGUACAAGUUUUCAUGGGAACAUCCUUAAAUAAGAAUUAAAAAACAAAGUAGCUGUAAUCAUCUCCAGUCUACUGAUAGUUAAUCUUCUAUUGCAACGCAGCUGUGCUGGCAGGACUAGAAAUUCAUUUGGAAAGCUAUAACACUUUUAAUUCUGCACUAUAUGUUGAGCUAUUAAUUUUUAAUUCUAGGGAAAACUCAUGGAUUUGAUCAGAACCUACAUCUGCAUCUUGCCUAUAGGAAGUACU